rnacentral:rRNA from 1 species
GGUCCAGACUCCUACGGGAGGCAGCAGUGGGGAAUAUUGCACAAUGGGGGGAACCCUGAUGCAGCGACGCCGCGUGGGUGAAGGAGCACCUCGGUGCGUAAAGCCCUAUCGGCAGGGAAGAAACAGACGGUACCUGACUAAGAAGCCCCGGCUAACUACGUGCCAGCAGCCGCGGUAAUACGUAGGGGGCAAGCGUUAUCCGGAUUCACUGGGUGUAAAGGGAGCGUAGACGGCCAUGCAAGCCUGGAGUGAAAGCCCGGGGCCCAACCCCGGGACUGCUCUGGGAACUGUGCGGCUGGAGUGCGGGAGGGGCAGGCGGAAUUCCUGGUGUAGCGGUGAAAUGCGUAGAUAUCAGGAGGAACACCGGCGGCGAAGGCGGCCUGCUGGACCGCGACUGACGUUGAGGCUCGAAAGCGUGGGGAGCACACAGGAUUAGAUACCCCUGUA